CCUACGGGAGGCAGCAGUGGGGAAUAUUGGACAAUGGGCGCAAGCCUGAUCCAGCCAUACCGCGUGGGUGAAGAAGGCCUUCGGGUUGUAAAGCCCUUUUGUUGGGAAAGAAAUCCUAUCGGUUAAUAACCGGUGGGGAUGACGGUACCCAAAGAAUAAGCACCGGCUAACUUCGUGCCAGCAGCCGCGGUAAUACGAAGGGUGCAAGCGUUUCUCGGAAUUACUGGGCGUAAAGCGUGCGUAGGUGGUGGUUUAAGUCUGCUGUGAAAGCCCUGGGCUCAACCUGGGAAUUGCAGUGGAUACUGGAUCACUAGAGUGUGGUAGAGGGAUGCGGAAUUUCUGGUGUAGCAGUGAAAUGCGUAGAGAUCAGAAGGAACAUCCGUGGCGAAGGCGGCAUCCUGGGCCAACAUCUGACACUGAGGCACGAAAGCGUGGGGAGCAAACAGGAUUAGAUAUCCCUGG
rnacentral:rRNA from 1 species